CCCACGGCGGCGGCAAUGUUACGGGCGUUUCCCUGUGGCCUGAAGGUCUCUGGGCGGGAGUUCCGGCAUCUUUCUCGCGGCAGACAUAUUGUCGGCUCUCCGGUGGGAUCAUCUGAGCAAAAGCUCGGGGUUGCUGAACGGUUCCUAGGUGGCGGAAGCGGGAGGGUGCGGGAAGAGACGCUGUUCGCCCUGCAGAGUGGCUCGCCAGCGAAGACCCCCCGCCUCCGCCCCCGGGGUCGCACCAUCGCGGUCCCAGGGUUCCGCGACCUGGGUGUACCUCGCGGCUUGGUGCGGUCUACGAACUGUGAUGGCGGCGGCCGUGGUGUUGGGCCUGGCGCAGGUCCUCUGUCGUUGCUGAACUGUAACAAGAGAGAGAACUCCAGGUGCCUAAAUGAAGAGGGCAUGACUCUAGUCACAGCAGGAGAGGCUUGGGCAGGCCCUGGUUGUUGGCAUGGAGUGAAGGAUGAAGAGGCAUCUUCUGAACAGAGCCAUACUAAUAUGUCACAUAUUAAUACUUCCAAGGCAGGUUCACCCACACAGGCGGCUCACUUUUGUGACAUAUGUUACCCUAUCUUGAAAGAUAUUUUGCACCUGGAUGAACACCAGGGUAAACACCUUGGACUAAAACUUCACACAUGUGAGGCUUGUGGGAGACAAUUUGGGUUCAGUGUAAACCUUCACCAGAACCAGAAGUGUUACAGUAUAGAGAAACCCUUAAGAAGAGAUGAAGGUGAGGCCUCAUUUGUGAAUAACUGCACAGUUAGCAAAGAACCUCACCCAUCAGAAAAGCCCUUUGCCUGUAAGGAGGAGCAGAAAAACUUCCAGGCUACUUUGGGUGCUUGCCAACAAAAGGCCACCCAAAGCAAGAGGAAGACACACAGAAGCACUGAGAAUAAGGAUGCAUUUCAUGGUGAACAAAUGCAUUACAAGUGCAGUGAAUGUGAGAAGGCUUUCCGCCGCAAAGACACACUGGUCCAACACCAGAGAAUCCAUAGUGGAGAGAAACCUUAUGAAUGCAAUGAAUGUGGAAAAGCCUUCUGCCGCAAAGCUACACUUGUCCAGCACCAGACAAUCCAUACUGGAGAAAGGCCUUAUGAGUGCAGUGAAUGUCGAAAAACCUUCAGCCGCAAAGCUACACUUGUCCAGCACAAGAGAAUCCAUAGUGGAGAAAGGCCUUAUGAGUGCAGCGAAUGUGGAAAAACCUUCAGUCAAAAAGACAACCUUACUCAGCACAAGAGAAUCCACACUGGAGAAAUGCCUUAUAAGUGCAAUGAAUGUGGGAAAUAUUUUAGCCAUCACUCCAAUCUAAUUGUACACCAGAGAGUUCACACUGGAGCAAGGCCUUAUAAGUGCAGUGAUUGUGGGAAAGUCUUCAGACACCAAUCUACACUUGUUCAACAUGAGAGUAUUCACACUGAGUCAAAGCGUUUUGAGUGCAUUGAAUGUGGGAAAUUCUUUAGUCGAAGUUUUGAGUUUAUUGCACACCAGAGGGUUCACACUGGUGAAAGGCCUUUUGUAUGCAGUACAUGUGGGAAAGAUUUUAUCAGAACCUCCCACCUUGUUCGGCACCAAAGACUUCACACUGGAGAAAGGCAGUGAAUGUGGGAAGGCCUACCGCUUAAGCCUUCACCUCGAAUCGGCACCAGAAAGUUCACACUGCAGGCAGGCUCUAGGACUGCUCUGAAUACAACAGAACUCAUCAGUCAGAUAUUGAACUUCAUAUAUCUGAACAUUGACUCAAGGGAGAUACCUUAUGGUGCCAGGUAUGUGGGAAGCUUCUAGGGAUGUGUUGCACUUUCUGACCUGCUCAGGUUUUUUGCCUGUCAGUACCUGUGGCCAAAACCAUCUUAACUCUACCAGCUUACAUACCCCAGCAUCAGGGAAGGCAGGGUUUUAUAUUCUCCAGUCCCUGGAGAAAAUCAUGAAAUGCCUGAGUUCAUUGGGGGUCCUCAUUCCCUUCUGUGUGACAGGUAUAGAUAUGGACAUGACCCAUCAUUAGCCAAGAAGGUCUGAGCUAUAUCUGUUGGUGGCUUAUACAAAAGGUUUACUUUCUUCAUGGAUAGUCUUGGUCUCACAUACUUGUAAUGAAUUUUUCCAGCCUCCAAGUCACCUGAUCUGGGAAAGUACUUGCCUCAAGUUGCUCUGGUUUGCGAUAAUAAAGGCCUUACAGUUUAAGCCACUUUUAAUCUUGGGGGUUCUUUUCACUGGAUUAGAUUGAGAACAGGCCCUGCGAAACAGAAGACAGCCUUUGUGGGGGCCUCCAACUUUGUGUGCCUCAAAUGGGGCAGUGGGUUGAGGGAGAACAGUUCUUAGUCCAGUUUUGGACUAGACUAACUGAACUUCCAUAGCUGACAAAGCUUGUUAAGUAACAAUUCUUUGUAGGCCUGAUUUGUCCGGAUUUUAGAGUUAUUUGAGAGCCCAUAUGUCACUUUCAGGAGGGCGCUGCUGCUGUGACAGUCUGUAGUGUUUUGAAACAGCAUGGAUUGGGCGUCUUGUUUCUAGCAUAUGUCUCAUGUUCCCCAACACUAUUGAGGUAAACCUAUUCCUUAGGACCUGCUGAGUGGCCAUGUUUUCUGAAAACCGGAAUCUGGUACACAGGCCACUUGGUAAGAUCUAAAGCAUCCAGUAUGGAAACAAAAUUGAUAAAUAUUAGGUGUGAAUGAUUGGGCUUGGGGAGAUCGAGGCAAACUAGAGGGGGAGUGACCAUUGUAAAAACACCACAGACAGCCCAGGCACUAUGGCUGAAUGGGAUCAGGGUAUUCAGAAAUCUCAGGAUCUCCCGUACUGUGUUACUGUUACGGACAAGGUCCCUGGAGCAGCAAUGAAUGUAGUUUUCCUGGAUUCCUGUACCUCCCUAGGCUCUAUACCUAAUGUCUUUGCUACUUUAGGGCCUUUGCUGCACAUUCACUAACCCUGGGGGUAAAGAGGUGUGAUGGGCCAAGGAAGUACCUUUUGUGACCAGCUAGAGUUUCUGGUGACUGUGAGUAAUACCUGGAGGGACAACUAAAGAAAACAUUUAGAAAGCGCUAUCAGAAUGUGAAGGUGAACAGGGAUGCUGUAGUAUUCAUGCUUAUUCAUAGUUCUAACAGAUGUUCAAUAAACACCUGCUGUAUUUCAGGCACUGUCUUUACUGCAUGAAACAUUUGCAAAACAAGAGACAGACCCCAGUAGCUUACAUUGUACUCAAGAAAGAGGAGGAAAUAUGAAAAAAAAA